rnacentral:rRNA from 1 species
AGAGUUGAUCAUGGCUCGAGGACGAACGCUGGCGGCGUGCCUAACACAUGCAAGUCGAGCGAGGAGAUCCUCGGGAUGAUCCUAGCGGCGGACGGGUGAGUAACACGUGGGCAACCUGCCUCAUAGAGAGGAAUAGCCUUCCGAAAGGGAGAUUAAUACCUCAUAACAUUGCAGUUUCGCAUGGAACAGCAAUUAAAGGAGCAAUCCGCUAUGAGAUGGGCCCGCGGCGCAUUAGCUAGUUGGUGAGGUAACGGCUCACCAAGGCGACGAUGCGUAGCCGACCUGAGAGGGUGAUCGGCCACAUUGGGACUGAGACACGGCCCAGACUCCUACGGGAGGCAGCAGUGGGGAAUAUUGCACAAUGGGGGAAACCCUGAUGCAAGCAACGCCGCGUGAGUGAUGACGGCCUUCGGGUUGUAAAGCUCUGUCUUCAGGGACGAUAAUGACGGUACCUGAGGAGGAAGCCACGGCUAACUACGUGCCAGCCGCUGC